rnacentral:rRNA from 1 species
CAAUAGCGUAUAUCAAAGUUGUUGCAGUUAAAAAGCUCGUAGUUGGAUUUCUGGUCGGAAGCUCCUGUCCUCUGAUGAGCGUACAAGUGCGUCCUACCAUCCUUCUGUUAACCUUUAAGGCUUUCGCGGCUUUCUAGGGGCUCAGAUAUUUUACCUUGAGAAAAUUAGAGUGUUUCAGGCAGGCUAGCGCCGGAAUACAUUAGCAUGGAAUAAUGGAAUAGGACUUUUGCCUCUUCUGUUGGUCAUGAGGCUCGAGUAAUGAUUAAUAGGGAUAGUUGGGGGCAUUAGUACUUAACUGUCAGAGGUGAAAUUCUCGGAUUUGUUAAAGACUAACUUACGCGAAAGCAUUUGCCAAGGAUGUUUNCAUUA